AGAGUUUGAUCAUGGCUCAGAUUGAACGCUGGCGGCAUGCCUUACACAUGCAAGUCGAACGGCAGCAUAGGAGCUUGCUCCUGAUGGCGAGUGGCGAACGGGUGAGUAAUAUAUCGGAACGUGCCCUAGAGUGGGGGAUAACUAGUCGAAAGACUAGCUAAUACCGCAUACGAUCUACGGAUGAAAGUGGGGGAUCGCAAGACCUCAUGCUCCUGGAGCGGCCGAUAUCUGAUUAGCUAGUUGGUGGGGUAAAAGCCUACCAAGGCAACGAUCAGUAGCUGGUCUGAGAGGACGACCAGCCACACUGGGACUGAGACACGGCCCAGACUCCUACGGGAGGCAGCAGUGGGGAAUCUUGGACAAUGGGGGCAACCCUGAUCCAGCAAUGCCGCGUGAGUGAAGAAGGCCUUCGGGUUGUAAAGCUCUUUUGUCAGGGAAGAAACGGUGGUAGCGAAUAACUACUACUAAUGACGGUACCUGAAGAAUAAGCACCGGCUAACUACGUGCCAGCAGCCGCGGUAAU
rnacentral:rRNA from 1 species